GAAUUAUUUCAUCAAAACAGAUAUGCUGCAUUAACUAUUUAUUUAGAAGUAAACUCUCUUUCAGAGCGAAGUGUCCAGGUUGCACACACAAAAGAGUGUGUGUGCGUGGCGGCGCUCAGUGGAGGUCGUGGGUCAAUAUGGACCUUGUUGGAUGCCGAGCCCCGAUGGUGUUCUCCGUGCUGAGCCGGGAUUGUAGCAACCUGGUCCCAUGAUCGGCCUAAUAAUUAAAGCUAUCCUGCAACCGGCGCCGUACUGCUGUGCUGCAUGCGCAUCAGGGGCCCAUGACAUGAUACAGAGGGACAGCUUAACUAUUAAAUAUCCAUCACGCCACGCCACAUCAGUCCUAAUGCAAUCAGAAACACAUGACUACAUCGCCCGGGCCCCCACUUCAAUCCACAAUGAUUAAAUGACAGUUCGAUUUGAUUGGGAAGAGGGGGGAUCUACUGUAGCUGCGCAGACUUAUUCGAGGCUUUGUGUACUUCAGAGAGAACGCACGUGGGCUGUGGUCUUUUUGCUGUAUUAUCAUUUUAAUGAAGCAGGGUAUUUCUUUUGUGGUCGGGAGGCUCUAAUGCAGUUGUCCAAGACUCCCCUUUCAUCUGUCUUCUUCAAAUGCUCGAGGUUGUUAAACAAAUGGAUGUGUCUGAGUAUAUAACGCUGAUGUGGCCAGGCUGUUGUUGACUGGGCCAAUUAGGGCUCAGAGAGAAAAGAAUAAGGCAUGUCUGUUCACUCACUCAAACCGUCAUACAAUACAGUCUGGCUGCUUUGUGUUUAUUAAAAUCACCUGGAUCCUUAAGGAUUUUGUAGAACACACCGUAGUAUGACAUUGCUAUCUGACGAUUUUCAUUAUCAGGACUUCCUGUACUGUUUUUAUCUUGCUAAUUAGCAUCUAAUUAUAAUAAAAAUGUUUUCCUCCUACCUGAUAUGUCAUGAAUUACCCGAUACCGUUGUCUCCGUGUUUAAAUGAGUGAGCAUCUUUAGAAAAAUGUUUAAUUUUACACCCAAGAGAUGAUAAUGAUGCAUACCUGUUUUCUUUAGUCGUAAUGAGAAUGCUGAAAUACGACAACGCUGAUUUCUCAAUGUGCUAAUUACUGAGCAAGUGCUGAUGCGCUAGUGGCUAAAGAUGUAUCCAAGUAAUAUUGUCAGUCAUGUUCUUUUCCAUAACGUCCACAACAAAAAUAGUUUUUGAAGAAAUAUGGUAGUUACGCUUUAAAAUAUAACAUUUUGAAAAUGCAUAGCAAGAAUUGCAUUAAUACAAUUUAAGAGUGUUAAUUUCAUUCAAUAAAUGC
ensembl:lncRNA